CCUACGGGAGGCAGCAGUGAGGAAUAUUGGUCAAUGGACGAGAGUCUGAACCAGCCAAGUAGCGUGAAGGAUGACUGCCCUAUGGGUUGUAAACUUCUUUUAUAAAGGAAUAAAACGAGGCACGUGUGCCUUUUUGCAUGUACUUUAUGAAUACGGAUCGGCUAACUCUGUGCCAGCAGCCGCGGUUAUACGGAGGGUCCGAGCGUUAUCCGGAUGUAUUGGGUUUAAAGGGAGCGUAGGUGGUUUGUUAAGUCAGUUGUGAAAGUUUGCGGCUCAACCGUAAAAUUGCAAUUGAUACUGGCAGUCUUGAGUACAGUUGAGGUAGGCGGAAUUCGUGGUGUAGCGGUGAAAUGCUUAGAUAUCACGAAGAACCCCGAUUGCGAAGGCAGCUUACUAGACUGUGACUGACAUUGAUGCUCGAAAGUGUGGGUAUCAAACAGGAUUAGAUACCCCAGUAGUC
rnacentral:rRNA from 1 species